GUACAAUGUCCUACUGUGAUUAUUUCAGGAAAUCAGCAACACGGGGACAGAUAAAAGUAAGAAGCAGGUUACCUUCGCUCUCUGGUUUUGGAACCACACCUGGACGACACGGACACUCAGCCCUGUCUCUGCAGCCAGAGUUUCUCUCACCUUGGAAAAAUUGAACAUGAGAAGUGUAGACACACUGGCAUCUCAGGGUAGGAGAUAGAACAUCUCCUAUAUCAUACAUGAGGAAGCCAAAAGACUGUAUCUGCUUUAGGAGCUGGAUAGUUUUUAAUGUUGAGCAUAAACACAAACACGAGAACAUUGCUUCCCUUCAGGUAGAAAGAAAGUCCUUCACCAGGUAACUUUGGGUGUUUCACGAAUAUCUAUAUAAUACAUGAGGAAGCCGAGUGAGGGCUACCCCGAGUGAGCCCUGCCCAAAGAGAAUAAGAUGAGAGCCAUCCGGAACCCGGCAGAGCCAGGAAGUGUGGCCACAGGACUACAUUUUGGCCAACACAUAUGAGGAGAAAUGAUUUGACCAACCCCUGGAUACAUCCAUAAAAAGCAGGGUGCUUGCCCUCCAUUUCCUCUUUCUCUACCUGGUGGCUGGAAACAUGGUGACAACUGGAGCAGUUGCUUGGACCCAGGAGAUGGAUAACAGAGCCACCCACCAGCCUUGCCUUGCUCACCUCUGGACUGUGAUGGAAGAGAAUAAACUCCUGUCUCAUUAA
rnacentral:antisense_RNA from 1 species